AUCCUUCUGGUUCUUCUGGCAGAUGAGUGGGUUUUCACACAGUUGUGUGAUAUGUGCGUCCUGACCUUGUAACGGCUUUGCUUGUUACCCAUCUGACC